AUGACAAACCCUAGAAAAAACAAUGAAACAACAUGGGUCGAAGAUAACAUGUUUUUCACCAUGUUUGAUGCCUCCAAUACCAAAGAUACUAAUCAAGACUCUCUCUCCAUGAACUCUAUUUUGACUUGGAUUGCUUUUUUGGAUGAUGUUUAUGCUUCUUCAACAGGGGUUGAAUAUGGGAAACCACCAACUUCAAAAAUAUUUGAGGUAGUCUUCGAAGUGCUAACAACUGGGAAAUCUUUAUAG